rnacentral:lncRNA from 1 species
GCCAUUUUCCUUUUUUUUUUCUUUUUUUUUUUUCGUUAGUUGUCUUGACGUUAGGUGGAGUCGCAAUCAAGCAUUUAAUACCUCAAUAGGCCAAACCAAAAUGCUUAUAAUUUGUUCCAAAAAAAAUAGUUUUCCUCUCUGAUCAAUUUGCCAAUAUUUGUUCCUUCUCUCUGAAGUCGCAUUUUCUUGACAUCCCACCAUGGAAUCUUCAUUCUGUACCAUAAAAUCCCUCCAUGAUUACAUAGUUAGCCAUAUCAAACGGACCAUUAAAGGACUAUUUUCUCCACUCUAUACACAAAAUAUCAGCAAAAACCCUGAUCCUUCGAUUGAAUACCGUCCAUCUGCUUCAUUAGUAUCACUCCCUUUUUACAUUACAAACACAACAAUCAAGAAGCAACUCAAGAUUGAUGAAUACAGAAAUUUUAUAUCGCAGGUCGGAACCCAAAAACGAGAUCUUGAUCCCUGUUGUGCAGUGUGUUUGGAUAACAUAGAGAGUUGUGACAAGGUGAGGGAACUUGGGAAUUGUGUGCAUGUGUUCCACAGUGAGUGCCUGGACUGUUGGAUCGAUCAAGGCCAUCAAACAUGCCCCAUUUGCAGAGCCAAGCUUUUGCAGAAUAAAAAACAAGAAUUAGAGUUUGAAGAAGAUCCAUGGAGAUCAGAAAGAAUGGUUUACUUGUUUGGUGAAGAUUGUGUGAUGAGUAAAUAGAUGAUUGAGUUCACUUGUCUAUUCGUAUAAGAAAUUACUUAUUUUUCAUCUGGAUAGUACUAUUUGGUCCUCACUACAAUACACCAUAAAUAGUUUAAACAUUAGUAGUUGUUUGCGUAGAAGCGAAUGCAAUUUAUGUGCACUACUUUUUUUUGGCAUGAAAGGAUUGAUUUGUUUACAAGUUAGUGUUUGGAUACUGGAUUGGUCUAUGUAACUUUAAAGCAAUGUUUUAAAACUCCGACCAGCUUGAAAACGUGAAAGAGUCA